rnacentral:rRNA from 1 species
GACGAACGCUGGCGGCGUGCUUAACACAUGCAAGUCGAGCGAGAAAGCUCCUUCGGGAGUGAGUACAGCGGCGAACGGGUGAGUAACACGUGGGCAACCUGCCCUAGGGAGCGGGACAACCCGAGGAAACUCGGGCUAAUACCGCAUGAUUCGUCGUGCCUCAAGGCGCGACGGGAAAUGGUAGCUUCGGCCUCCGCCCUGGGAUGGGCCCGCGCCGCAUUAGCUUGUUGGUGAGGAACGGCUCACCAAGGCAACGAUGCGUAGCUGGUCUGAGAGGACGAUCAGCCACACUGGGACUGAGACACGGCCCAGACUCCUACGGGAGGCAGCAGUGGGGAAUCUUGCGCAAUGGGCGGAAGCCUGACGCAGCAACGCCGCGUGAGGGAAGACGGCCU